rnacentral:rRNA from 1 species
GAUCAUGGCUCGGGAUGAACGCUGGCGGCAUGCCUAAUACAUGCAAGUCGAACGGACCGAAGGGAAAGCUUGCUUUUCCUGAAGUCAGUGGCGAACGGGUGAGUAACACGUAGGUAACCUGCCCAUGUGCCCGGGACAACGCCUGGAAACGGGUGCUAAAACCGGAUAGGUAGAGAGAUCGCAUGAACUUUCUAUUAAAGGGGCUACGGCCCUGAACAUGGAUGGACCUGCGGUGCAUUAGCUAGUUGGUG